AUAAAAUCGUGUCGGUGGAUCAU
rnacentral:rRNA from 2 species